AGCGAACGCUGGCGGCAGGCCUAACACAUGCAAGUCGAGCGCCCGUAGCAAUACGGGAGCGGCAGACGGGAUAGUAACACGUGGGAACGUACCCUUCAGUUCGGAACAACCCAGGGAAACUUGGGCUAAUACCGAAUACGUCCGUAAGGAGAAAGAUUUAUCGCUGAAGGAUCGGCCCGCGUCUGAUUAGCUAGUUGGUGAGGUAAUGGCUCACCAAGGCGACGAUCAGUAGCGGUCUGAGAGGAUGAUCAGCAUCACUGGGACUGAGACACGGCCCAGACUCCUACGGGAGGCAGCAGUGGGGGAAUAUUGGACAAUGGGCGCAAGCCUGAUCCAAGCAAUGCCGCGUGUGUGAAGAAGG
rnacentral:rRNA from 1 species